AACGAACGCUGGCGGCAGGCUUAACACAUGCAAGUCGAACGGGCCCUUCGGGGUCAGUGGCAGACGGGUGAGUAACGCGUGGGAACGUGCCCUUCAGUUCGGAAUAACCCAGGGAAACUUGGGCUAAUACCGGAUACGUGCGAGAGCAGAAAGAUUUAUCGCUGAAGGAUCGGCCCGCGUCUGAUUAGCUGGUUGGUGAGGUAAUGGCUCACCAAGGCGACGAUCAGUAGCUGGUCUGAGAGGAUGAUCAGCCACAUUGGGACUGAGACACGGCCCAAACUCCUACGGGAGGCAGCAGUGGGGAAUAUUGGACAAUGGGCGCAAGCCUGAUCCAGCCAUGCCGCGUGAGUGAUGACGGCCUUAGGGUUGUAAAGCUCUUUCGCACGCGACGAUAAUGACGGUAGCGUG
rnacentral:rRNA from 1 species